UACGAAGGGGGCUAGCGUUGUUCGGAUUUACUGGGCGUAAAGCGCACGUAGGCGGAUUGCUAAGUCAGGGGUGAAAUCCUGGAGCUCAACUCCAGAACUGCCUUUGAUACUGAGGAUCUUGAGUUCGGGAGAGGUGAGUGGAACUGCGAGUGUAGAGGUGAAAUUCGUAGAUAUUCGCAAGAACACCAGUGGCGAAGGCGGCUCACUGGCCCGAUACUGACGCUGAGGCACGAAAGCGUGGGGAGCAAACAGG
rnacentral:rRNA from 1 species